rnacentral:rRNA from 1 species
UUUCCUACGGGACGCAGCAGUAGGGAAUAUUGCUCAAUGGGGGAAACCCUGAAGCAGCAACGCCGCGUGGAGGAUGAAGGUUUUCGGAUUGUAAACUCCUUUUGUUAGAGAAGAUAAUGACGGUAUCUAACGAAUAAGCACCGGCUAACUCCGUGCCAGCAGCCGCGGUCAUACGUAGGAUCCGAGCAUUAUCCGGAGUGACUGGGUGUAAAGAGUUGCGUAGGUGGCAUAAUAAGUAGCUAGUGAAAUCUGGUGGCUCAACCAUUCAGACUAUUAGCUAAACUGUUAAGCUCGAGACCGUUAGG